rnacentral:rRNA from 1 species
UACGUAGGGCGCAAGCGUUUGUCCGGAAUUAUUGGGCGUAAAGAGCUCGUAGGCGGCUUGUCACGUCGGAUGUGAAAGCCCGAGGCUUAACCUCGGGUCUGCAGUCGAUACGGGCAAACUUGAGUGUUGCAGGGGAGACUGGAAUUCCUGGUGUAGCGGUGAAAUGCGCAGAUAUCAGGAGGAACACCGGUGGCGAAGGCGGGUCUCUGGGCAACAACUGACGCUGAGGAGCGAAAGCGUGGGGAGCGAACAGG